CGAGCGGAACGAGUUAUCUGAACCUUCGGGGAACGAUAACGGCGUCGAGCGGCGGACGGGUGAGUAAUGCCUAGGAAAUUGCCCUGAUGUGGGGGAUAACCAUUGGAAACGAUGGCUAAUACCGCAUAAUGCCUACGGGCCAAAGAGGGGGACCUUCGGGCCUCUCGCGUCAGGAUAUGCCUAGGUGGGAUUAGCUAGUUGGUGAGGUAAUGGCUCACCAAGGCGACGAUCCCUAGCUGGUCUGAGAGGAUGAUCAGCCACACUGGAACUGAGACACGGUCCAGACUCCUACGGGAGGCAGCAGUGGGGAAUAUUGCACAAUGGGCGCAAGCCUGAUGCAGCCAUGCCGCGUGUGUGAAGAAGGCCUUCGGGUUGUAAAGCACUUUCAGUCGUGAGGAAGGUGGUGUAGUUAAUAGCUGCAUUACUUGACGUUAGCGACAGAAGAAGCACCGGCUAACUCCGUGCCAGCAGCCGCGGUAAUACGGAGGGUGCGAGCGUUAAUCGGAAUUACUGGGCGUAAAGCGCAUGCAGGUGGUUUGUUAAGUCAGAUGUGAAAGCCCGGGGCUCAACCUCGGAAUAGCAUUUGAAACUGGCAGACUAGAGUACUGUAGAGGGGGGUAGAAUUUCAGGUGUAGCGGUGAAAUGCGUAGAGAUCUGAAGGAAUACCGGUGGCGAAGGCGGCCCCCUGGACAGAUACUGACACUCAGAUGCGAAAGCGUGGGGAG
rnacentral:rRNA from 1 species